GAUGAACGCUGGCGGCGUGCCUAAUACAUGCAAGUCGAGCGAACAGAUAAGGAGCUUGCUCCUUUGACGUUAGCGGCGGACGGGUGAGUAACACGUGGGUAACCUACCUAUAAGACUGGAAUAACUCCGGGAAACCGGGGCUAAUGCCGGAUAACAUUUAGAACCGCAUGGUUCUAAAGUGAAAGAUGGUUUUGCUAUCACUUAUAGAUGGACCCGCGCCGUAUUAGCUAGUUGGUAAGGUAACGGCUUACCAAGGCAACGAUACGUAGCCGACCUGAGAGGGCGAUCGGCCACACUGGAACUGAGACACGGUCCAGACUCCUACGGGAGGCAGCAGUAGGGAAUCUUCCGCAAUGGGCGAAAGCCUGACGGAGCAACGCCGCGUGAGUGAUGAAGGUCUUCGGAUCGUAAAACUCUGUUAUUAGGGAAGAACAAAUGUGUAAGUAACUGUGCACGUCUUGACGGUACCUAAUCAGAAAGCCACGGCUAACUACGUG
rnacentral:rRNA from 1 species